rnacentral:rRNA from 1 species
CACGUAGGGCGCAAGCGUUGUCCGGAAUUAUUGGGCGUAAAGAGCUCGUAGGCGGUCUGUUGCGUCCGCUGUGAAAACUCGGGGCUUAACCCCGAGCCUGCAGUGGAUACGGGCAGACUAGAGGUAGGUAGGGGGAGAAUGGAAUUCCCGGUGUAGCGGUGAAAUGCGCAGAGUAUCGGGAGGAACACCGGUGGCGAAGGCGGUCACUG